CUCCGUUAGUAACGAAUCGGAAGCGUGCCGGUAAAGUUUGGAAAAAGUGAACCAAGAGUUUAUUGAAACAGGAUAGCUCGAGCAGUUUUGGGCGUCAAGUUGAAUUUAAAACUGAUUAAGGAUUCUCAUUGAAGAUUAGAGCAGAAACAACUCUUUUUGAAUUGGUUUUAGAUCUUAAAAAUGGCUGAUGUCGUGAAAAAAGUAAUCCCAUUCCUUUUUGAUAUCUUCAAGAACACUUCUGGGGAAUAUGAACUAGAAAUUGCACAAAGACGCAAGCUAGAACGUGACCAGAGCGCUUUCAAUCGGGCCAUAUCAGAGGAAGGAGCCCUUCUAAAACUGCGCCAAAGCAAGCUUCAGGCCCGUAACGAUGAGUUGCAGAGCGGCCAACAGAAGUUGCAAGACGAGCUGGCCAUCACUAGAGCCAAGGUAAAAAAGCUCGAAAAUUCUACGGGAGAAAUGCGACGUUUGUUUCAUUUUGUAACAAUGAUAUUUGUAUUUGUAAUUAUAUUUGCAUACCUAUUAAGGGCGUAGACGGUGUCAUUCACUCUUGGGGCAAGGACUGUCAAUAUUCAAUAUGAAUUCAGGGUCCAGAAAUAAUAAAUUGAAAGGAAAAAAAAAACAACGAAAUAAAGAAAACCAUUUUUUGAUUCUAAAUCAAGA